UACGUGGGGUCCAAGCAUUAUCCGGAAUUACUGGGCGUAAAGAGUUGCGUAGGUGGCAGAGUAAGUAGGUAGUGAAAUUGUGUGGCUCAACCAUACACCCAUUAUCUAAACUGCUCAGCUAGAGCAUGGAAGAGGUAACUGGAAUUUCUAGUGUAGGAGUGAAAUCCGUAGAUAUUAGAAGGAACACCGAUGGCGUAGGCAGGUUACUGGUCCAUUGCUGACACUAAGGCACGAAAGCGUGGGGAGCGAACGGG
rnacentral:rRNA from 1 species